rnacentral:rRNA from 1 species
AACUUUCAACAACGGAUCUCUUGGUUCUGGCAUCGAUGAAGAACGCAGCAAAAUGCGAUAAGUAAUGUGAAUUGCAGAAUUCAGUGAAUCAUCGAAUCUUUGAACGCACAUUGCGCCCGCCAGUAUUCUGGCGGGCAUGCCUGUUC